GACGAACGCUGGCGGCGUGCCUACUACAUGCAAGUCGAACGCAGUGGGGACGGGUGAGUAACACGUGGGUAACCUCCAAUCAGAGGGGAUCACUCUUGGAAACAGGUGCUAAACCGAUACUGUCGGAUGGACCCGCGGUUCAUUAGCUAGUUGGUGAGGUAACGGCUCACCAAGGCCACGAUGCAUAGCCGGCCUGAGAGGGUGAUCGGCCACACGGGGACUGAGACACGGUCCAGACUCCUACGGGAGGCAGCAGUGGGGAAUCUUCGGCAAUGGACGAAAGUCUGACCGAGCAACGCCGCGUGAGUGAAGAAGGUUUUCGGAUCGUAAAACUCUGUGGUUAGAGAAGCGGUAUCUAACCAGAAAGCCACGGCUAACUACGUGCCAGCAGCCGCGGUAAUAC
rnacentral:rRNA from 1 species